GAUGAAGAACGCAGCGAAAUGCGAUAAGUAAUGUGAAUUGCAGAAUUCAGUGAAUCAUCGAAUCUUUGAACGCACAUUGCGCCCCCUGGUAUUCCGGGGGGCAUGCCUGAUCGAGCGUCAUUUCACCACUCAAGCCUCGCUUGGUAUUGGGCAACGCGGUCCGCCGCGUGCCUCAAAUCGACCGGCUGGGUCUUCUGUCCCCUAAGCGUUGUGGAAACUAUUCGCUAAAGGGUGUUCGGGAGGCUACGCCGUAAAACAACCCCAUUUCUAAGGUUGACCUCGGAUCAGGUAGGGAUACCCGCUGAACUUAAGCAUAUCAAUAAGCGGAGGA
rnacentral:misc_RNA from 1 species